AGGCUUGGAUCCCGGGGGUCGAGCGCCCAGAAUGGGAGCGGCAGACGGGUGAGUAACACGUGGGGAUCUACCCAAUGGUACGGAAUAACCCAGGGAAACUUGGAUUAAUACCGUAUGUGCCCUUCGGGGGAAAGAUUUAUCGCCAUUGGAUGAACCCGCGUCGGAUUAGCUAGUUGGUGAGGUAAAGGCUCACCAAGGCGACGAUCCGUAGCUGGUCUGAGAGGAUGAUCAGCCACACUGGGACUGAGACACGGCCCAGACUCCUACGGGAGGCAGCAGUGGGGAAUAUUGGACAAUGGGCGCAAGCCUGAUCCAGCCAUGCCGCGUGAGUGAUGAAGGCCCUAGGGUUGUAAACGUCUUUCCCCCCGGGAAGAAAAUGAAGCUAACCGGGAGAAUAACCCCCUGCUAAUUUUCUUGCCAACAACCCCGGUAAUACCAAGGGGGGCCACCGUUGCUCCGGAAGCACUGGCGGGUUAAGGGCGGGUAGGA
rnacentral:rRNA from 1 species